UCCUCCCGACUCCCGGAGGAACGGGCGCCUGCGGAGGGACGUUCGGCGUGCGCGCUCCCCGCGUGCGCCCUCCCCAGUUGCUGGAGUCAGAGCGUGCCCCAGCCGGGUUACCUUGGCUUCGCUUAACACUGAGCUGGCUGGCUGCUGUCCUUGUGCCCGGCUCUGAGGCUAACGCGCUUCCUUCCUCACGCGGGGCUGGAGAGAGAGGGAGAGGGAGAGGGAGCCGAUGGGAGUCACGUGGUCACGCCGGGUUGGCCGCCAUCUUGUGGCCGGCUGUCCACUUUUCUCUUCCAGGGCGAGUUGCUUGGAAGGAUGAACGUAACCCCAGCAGAACCUAUAAUGUUGGAAGGAAAAGAGCUUUCCAGCUGGCCACGGUGGUGCAUCCCUAGAUUCCCAGGCAGGAGGAUUACUGCAAAUUGAAGGCCAGCCUUGACGACAUGGACUGGAAUUAAGGGCAUGCACAACCACUGAGGAGCUAAAGAAGUUAAAAAACAAACAAAACAACAACAACAAAAGAGAAUUUGAGGAGGAAAGAAAAAUUAGACUACCAG